ACCCUCAUUCUCCUCAAUGCGGCCCCCGCCACCGAUGACUCGCGGCUUCUGGCCCUCUUUCUGGCCCCCGCCACCAGAAGCUCCGCCCUGCGGAGCCCGCAGGCGGCGGAUGUGCUCUCUCUGGAUG
rnacentral:SRP_RNA from 10 species